rnacentral:lncRNA from 1 species
UGGGGGAAGACUAUAAGUUGGAAUACCUUGUGUUUCAUCCCUUUUUAUAUUUAAGCAAAUAAGGCCACACCAAUUUGAUUCCUUGUUCGACGGACCCGCCCGCACCUAUUUUUUUCAAAACAGAAUUUUUUUAUUUUUUUUAUAUUCCCGCUUCCCGCAUCCGGAAAUGUAAUCAUGUCCAUUUCCCGCACCGUUUUUUUUUGUAAAUAUUAUAAAAAGAUAUCAACAUUUGUUUUUAAAAUCACAGUCUUAACCUGUAUAUAACGAUUUUAAACAUAAAAGCACCCCACCACACUUUGUAAAUAUCUGUGAGAAUAUUUGUUUCAGCAUGAAACCUAUUUAUCCAAAGCGGGAGUGUUCCGAUAUAAAUUUAAAGAACAAAAAAUUGAUUACUUUCCCCCUUACUUAUAUUCCCUAUCGAAAAAAUGUUCGUUAUGUUAGAAUAAAGUACAAAGAACUUCUGAAAGAUUUGCCUUCAACUGCAAUUAUAUUGUAUGCUGGCAAAACAAAACUAUCCAUAGCCGCUGCAUGUUUAUGCACCUGUCCUGAUUGAUUGAGGGGCCUGUCGUUCAGCAGUUAUCGUUUGUUGAUGUUGUUCAUUUGUAUUUUCCCGUUUGGAUAUACAUGAUAUAUAGAUUAGAUCGUUGGUUUUCCUGUUCGAAUUGUGUACGCUAAUAAUUUUGGGGUCCUUUAUAGCCUGCUGUUUGGUCUGUAUCAAAGCCCUGUGUAAAAGGCCGUAUUUUGAUCUGUGUUUGUUAUUAUCAGGUUGAGAACAAU